rnacentral:snoRNA from 1 species
AAACCAUGCAUUGGGAAUUUUCUGAUUAACUACUUGAAUCACUCCUAUGUUUCAUAUAAUGUUUCAUCCUCAGAUUGUCAAAAGGACGUAAUAUCAUUCCUCAGUUU